rnacentral:rRNA from 1 species
GACAGAGGAUGCAAGCGUUGUCCGGAAUUAUUGGGCGUAAAGAGCUCGUAGGCGGUUUGUCGCGUCUGCUGUGAAAACGCGAGGCUCAACCUCGCGCCUGCAGUGGGUACGGGCAGACUAGAGUGCGGUAGGGGAGAUUGGAAUUCCUGGUGUAGCGGUGGAAUGCGCAGAUAUCAGGAGGAACACCGAUGGCGAAGGCAGAUCUCUGGGCCGUAACUGACGCUGAGGAGCGAAAGCGUGGGGAGCGAACAGG